CUUUGGCCACUUUAAGGCAGCCAAAGUGUCCAAUAUACACGUGCUCCCUAGGUAGGCGCCGUUCUGCCACUGGCGCUCCCUAAUCGACGCCGGCCUCCGCUGCGCCCUACUCGACGCCGUUCUGCUCGAGGCCCUCCCCCACGGCAGCGGAUAUAGGUUUGAAAUCGACAGUAGAAGGCCACCUGGGAGUGAGUCCAUCCCCUGGACCUGAAAACGGAUUCUCAUACACAAAUGGGGGCUAUGAUAUGCUCUCUUCAGCUCCAAGAGCAGCUGAUCUCCGAAAUGUGCGAGCCAUCUACAGAAUGAAGAGAUUUCAGAAGUCUACUCCUUUUUUAUCUUAAUAUAUUUUUAUCUCGAUGGUGCUUCAUUUAGAAUCCAGAAGGUUCAUAGUUGCAAUUUGGUUUUUCCAUACGUUCUGUAUGUAUGCAGCAAGUACAUUAUCAGCUUCAGAUAAUAAGUAAGUUGGGUGGAAGGACCAGCCAGAGCAGAGGCAUGUUGGUCUGUUCAUCGUCCUUCAUACAAGCUGAGGCAUUUUCCCUCUGUACAGGAUGAUGCUGGUAUAAUUAGUGCUUGAUACUCAGUUAUCGUUAGGAAUUUCAUGUUUAUGUAGGUCUGACUAUGUAAACACCACAACUUUACAUUCUAAAUCUUUUUUUAUUUUGUUCGUUUGUAAGUAACAGUUGUGCAUUCCUCUUCCAUUGAUCUCUAUAUAGUUAAGGGAGCAUGAUAAAAUGUUAUCUUCCCU